CCAGCAGCUGCGGUAAUUCCAGCUCUAAUAGCGUAUAUUAAAGUUGUUGCAGUUAAAAAGCUCGUAGUCGGAAUUCGGGUUCGGGCAGGCUUCUGACCUCUGGGAAGAUGGCAGGCUCGGAUCUUUCUGCCUUGUUUCUAUUUCGCACUUAACUGUUCGGAGUAGGGAUUAGGCCGUUUACUUUGAAAAAAUUAGAGUGUUCAAAGCAGGCCAACGCUUGAAUACAUUAGCAUGGAAUAAUGGAAUAGGACUUUGGUUCUAUUUUGUUGGUUUCUAGGACCGAAGUAAUGAUUAAUAGGGACAGUUGGGGGCAUUCAUAUUCCAUUGUCAGAGGUGAAAUUCUUGGAUUAACGGAAGAUGAACUUCUGCGAAAGCAUCUGCCAAGGAUGUUUUCAUUGAUCAAGAACGAAAGU
rnacentral:rRNA from 1 species